rnacentral:rRNA from 1 species
AGCGAACGCUGGCGGCAGGCUUAACACAUGCAGGUCGAGCGCCCCGCAAGGGGAGCGGCGGACGGGAGAGUAACACGUGGGAACAUACCUUUUGGUUCGGAACAACUGAGGGAAACUUCAGCUAAUACCGGAUAAGCCCUUACGGGGAACGGUUUAUCGCCGAACGAUUGGCCCGCGUCUGAUUUGCUGGUUGGUGGGGUAACGGCACACCAAGGCGACGAUCAGUAGCUGGUCUGAGAGGAUGAUCAGCCUCGCUGGGACUGAGACCCGGCCCAGACUCGUACGGGAGGCAGCAGAGGGGAAUAUUAGACAAUGGGGGCAACCCUGAUCCAGCCAUGCCGCGUGAGUGAUGAAGGCCUUAGGGUUGUAAAGCUCUUUUGGACGGGAAGAUAAUGACGGUACCGGGAGAAUAAGCCCCGGCUAACUUCGUG